UACAGAGGGUGCGAGCGUUUGUUCGGAAUUAUUGGGCGUAAAGGGCGCGUAGGCGGUGCGGUAAGUCACCUGUGAAAUCUCCUGGCUCAACUGGGAGCUUGCAGGCGAAACUGCCGUGCUGGAGUGUGGGGAGAGGUGCGUGGAAUUCCGGGUGGAGUGGUGAAAUGCGUAGAUAUCCGGAGGAACACCAAUGGCGAAGGCAGUGUCCUGGGAAGUACCUGACGCUCAGGUGCGAAAGCUAGGGGAGCGAACAGG
rnacentral:rRNA from 1 species